UUUACAAGCACUUUGAUCAGUUCAUGUCCUGCAUCAGGAGUGCCCUGUGGAAGUCCAGGAAACUCCUGAUGUACAGACACACAAACCUCAAGGAGGUAGACUGUGUUAAAACAGCUUUGACUGAACUCCAGUCCUACUACCAGAAAUCAGUAGCAGAGGACAGAGAGGAUCUAGCCAAAUCCGCCCGGCAGAGGGACACUUGGAUCAGGAUCUUUCAAGACUUCCCCCCAGUAAGGAAAUGGACAGCGACAGUGAAGAGGAUAUUUUGUGGCAGCUAGAUACAGAAUU